rnacentral:tRNA from 1 species
GGAGAGGUGUCCGAGUGGCUGUAAGGAGCUGGUCUUGAAAACCAGUGACUCCGCAAGGGGCCGUGGGUUCGAAUCCCACCCUCUCCG